GGUUGACUUGCUUGGAGCCUUAGCAAAAGCCCUCUUUCCAGGGCUUGUUCCAUGUGACUUAAAAUACUAAUCAUUUCUUUCAUUCAUCAAAUAUAUAGUUGUUGCCUAUGAUAUGCCAGGUACCAUGCUAGGCUCGGUGUGUACAAUGGUAAAUAGGAUGCAAUCUUCUGCUUUCAAAGGGCUCCCCAUUCAGUUAGGAACACAGGAAAAGACAUGAGCAAAUACAACAGAGGCACUUGCAGUCUGGGCUACAUUAUAACUUCCUAAUAUUUUGCCUUUGUUGACCCCUUCUUCCAUAAAAAUAUUAAAAACUGUAUUUCAUGUUUAUACGAAGUGCCUAAAGACAAAUGUAUUAAUAUUAUAUAUUAAAACACUUUCUUCAAUCUGAAAAUUAACUUUUUCUUCCGGUUUUAAAGGAAAUUAAAACAUUUUCAUGGGCCUCUGAAAGCAUUGUGGGCCCUAGAUUCUCUGCCUACUUUGCCUAAUAGAGAAGUUAGCCCUGCUUGCCAUACAUAUUUUCUUCCCUAUUUUAGGAUAACUCAGCCCCCCUGUUUUAUUUCUUUCAUUCAUUUCUGAGAAUGAGGACUCCUCUGUUAUGACAAUUCUGUGUUUGGUUUCCAUCAACCGAAACUGUGCAUAUUGACAAAGAGUAACAAUGAAAUCACAUUUAAAUGAAAGUAUUUUAAUUUAUCAUGACAGCAGCUUCAAAUAUGUCUGUCAAACAAUAAGAAUGGCUAAAAUGCACCGAGCCCUAACUAUGUAAGCAGCACUGUUCCUCAGAUAUUAACUCAUUUAAGACAACAACCCUGUGAGGUGAUAUUAUCACCAUUAUCUCCAUUUUACAGAUGAAGAAACUGAAGUAUUCAGAGGUUAAAUAACUUGUUCAGGGCCACACAACUAGUAAGAGACACAGCCAGCAUUUGAACCUAAAAUGUUAGUCUCCAGAGCCUUCCUUGCUAUGUUAGAUGACCUAGGACAUAAUUAUGUGAAACCUUACCCAGGCUGUUUUCUACCCAGCUGUGAAUUUCUCGCUCUUUACAGAGCUGCAGCUGCCAGGAGCCCACAGUCCACAGGCUGGGAACAUGUACUUAGGGUAAAGGUUCUAACCCUUCUCAUAGCAUUAAGCUGUCAUGGGACUCUGUUAGUACCUGAAAUGUUUCUAUUUCAGGGAGCCUAUUAUGGGUGCCCUAGGGCUCCCUCUGGUAGCUGUACAUGGGCCAACUGAACAAGAAGCUUGUCUCUUCCACCUCAGUUCUCUCUACCCACAGAAUGAUCUAGGAGCUCUGGACUGCCCUAGACCCUUGCAUUGUCCAUAGACUUGAAGACUGGAAUUAUAGCCACUACCUCCCUGGGUUGCUUCCUCACCAACAAUGUAGAUUCACAGAAAAGGAAUUUAGGUUAAAAAGAUGAUGUCUUAAAUUCUAGGUCCACAACGCCAGAACAGUCCUUGUUUGCCAAGUAGAAAUUUAUGUAAUCACAAGACUAAAGACACUUUUUAUUUCCAAAAUGUUUUUGCAACCAACAUAAUAAUUCCCCCUAAGUAAGUGCCAAAAUACUUUUCCCUGAGUCCUCUUAAGUGCUUUGAGUUGCUAGAAAAAUAUGCUUCUGAAAUUUUACAGUUAACUCUGGAGCUGAAGCUGUGCUAUAUAAGAAAGAAAGAGAUGAAGGGAACAUUUAAACUGUGAUAGACAUCAUGGGAGAAGGGGAGACAAUGGUCUGACUCGUAUAUACAGUUUUCUGGUCCACAAAUAUCAUUCGCUCAACAAGACUUUUAGUACAGAAUCAAAAGCAAUGGUAGAAAACUAUGAUGGUUUUUCUGUAUUGGAGAGACAAAGCUUCAGAGCUUGUCAUUUUUUUUUUCAUUCAUGCAGGUUGGAGCCAACACGCAUGCUGUGCCUAAAUAAUAACAUAUACAAUUAAUGGAGGGAAAUAUAUGAGAGCUGGCCCAGAAUAGUCCUUUAGACUGUGACAUUUGGGCAAUGAGCUGACAGAUUAAAAAGAUCAUGUGGCCUUCUAAUACAACAUUGCCUCCUUUCUUAAAAACAACCAAAAAAUGAUGUUUUUAAAAAUAAGCUUAAAUACCAUGGGAGUCUAUCCCUAAGUCCCUGGACUCUGCAUAAAGAAGUGUCUAAUCACUGAGCUGGAGUUUCUGGAAUGGGAUUCCAGGCAGAGGCAAAUGCUUCCAUCAGGGCUUGUGGACAGGUGACAGAUGGUGGAUUUUCGCCUUUCAGCACAUAACUGUAACCUCAUGCACUGUCUGAGUUUAUUUUCAACCCCCUACACAAGGGCUUAUUGUUUAUAAUAAGCUGUCCUCUAAACCCAUUUCCAGGAAAAGAUUCCCCAUGUGUGUCAGCCUGCAUCACUUCCCGGGCUGCACAGUGACCAUGAAGACUCCAGGCCAAAUGUCAAGAGCCAACACAGGGGAGGGGGCAAUAAAUUUUCCAGUCUUUGUUAUAAUUUAUAUUAGUGCCCAGUCAGUCUCAGGUGCAUCUUAGAACACAUUACUUAGAAUUUGCAGCCUCACUUCUACUUUCUCACCCAGAAUGAAAACCAACACACAUUUCACCAAGCCAUUUCUACUUGUUAUAAAAAGAGGGAAGAAAAUAAAAUUUUGUCUCACAGGUCAGGUUUCUAUCUCAAGGUGGGAAAACUCAGUAAUUUAUACUCAGAAAGUAAACAAGCUGCACCCACCCCCAGCCUACAAGGUGUAUAAACAUUAAAUGAGCAAUUCUAAUUUUAUUCUCAGAACUGUUUGUGUUCUGAGUCAACUCUUGCCUUCUCUUUAUUUUGAAGCUAGAAAAUACAGGCCUCUGAUUUUAUCUAAGACCCUGUAAUUCCACUGGGCUUUUCAGAAGGAUUGGGGUCAACACAAGGACAUGAAUCUGAAUGAGCACAAACUCUAGCUAUACGGCCCCACCUAAAAUGUGAGGCAAAGAACAGCUCUGAGAUCCAUGAACAUCAAUUUACUUCAGGGAGAAGCUGGAUAAAACUUUGAGUUUGGUCUCAAAAUAGCCUGAACAAUUUUAGUUUUCUGACAGCAUUUGGUGGCAAGCCUGUUAGAGAACAGCAUCUUGAAAUUUCCCAUUUGUGUGCUGUAGAUAGCAUAUCAUCUGGGCACACCCAGAGCUUCAGAAGCAUUAAUCACCAAGGUACACCUGCCAUGGAACACAGGUCUCAGGAGAGAAAGGGAGAGAGUUUUCUAUGGACCCCCAUACCUUGUGUUGCGUACAUUUUUGCCUACUUGAUUGACUAACAACUCACCUAAUUGCUAACCCAGGGAGCCACUGGGGUGCAGUGGUUAAGAGCGUGGACACUUGAGUGAGGUCUUGAUUCAAAUCUCAGCUCUGCCAUGUACUGGCUGUAUGAUCAGAGACAAGUUUCUUCUCUGAGCCUUAGCUGUCUAAUGAGACGAAGUCUGAUGGGACCUAGCACAGUACCUGCACAUUUAGGGACUCAAGUCUCUUUCUCUCCCACACUUUUCUUUCCCUGAGCAUUAAUAAGAAGGAUAAGUAUGAAAGUACUCAGCAUCUAUGUAUUCAAACUAGCUCACUAGACAUAAAUGUGGCAGAUAUUCUUGUGAUGGUACAGGAAGAGGCCAAGAAUAGAGACCUUCAUCCUCACUUUGCUUAAUAUAGGCUCAAAGUUCCCAUAUAAAUGGACUGGUUAUACUACAAAUAUGUCAGGUUUGGUAUAACUUGAAAUAUAUGGCCCAAAGCAGGAAAAAACCUUUCUCCUUAUAUAAAGGUGCUUAUUGUAAUAGAAUCAGCCAUUUUAUAAUCUGAUCCAUAUUAGCAUUUUUUACUUGACAAUCUCAAAGAAAUUCUUGGCAUCAAUACUGACUUUUUAUAACAUUGCCAGUGGGUAAAGAAGAUAACAAAACAUUUGCUCACCAGUUAUGCACCUUAGCUUCCAGCAUCAGCUGUGUGAGUGAACCAAAAGGGCAGUUGCAGAAACUGAAUAUAGACUCCCAUCCCUCACUCUAGCAUUCCCACCAAUAGGACUUACGUCAUCCUUCCUGGGCAGUUGGGUGGAUGGGGUUUAAGGGAGCGUGUGAAUUCAGGAGACCUGCUUGGCUGGUUCAUAGAAUUUGCCCUGGGUGGAGCUUUAAUUUUAAGGAACACCUUCCUUCUGUGGGCCUGAGGAGCUGCAGUGUAUUUAAGCUCUAGUCUGCUGGACUUGAAUGAGCCCAGUGGAAAGGAAUGGCUAGUGUGAUCAUAGAGCCUUUAAGACAUUGGACACUCACUCACUCACCUAUUAAAGGAGGAACAAGUCUUAGGAAUCAUGCUUCCUUGGUGCCCAUUCACUCACUAAGCUCUUUAGGAGAUUUAGAUUAGACGCAUAGAUCUUAGCAGUCCUCCAAACCAAACGCCUUGUUUUACCGAUGAAUGAACCAGCCUAAAGUCACACAGAUCAUAAGUGGCAGAUCCAUGACCAAGGUCAUGAUUUGAUGAUUUCUAAUUCUCUAACACCCUACCCUUCCUUAUGUAAAGACAAAUUAGAUGAGACUUUGUCCUCAAGGAGUUCACAAUCAUGCAGGGGAAAUGAGACUGUGCAAAUGAACAAUGGUUAUCCCAGCAUGAAAGCGUGAUAGGGAGGGGGCAGAGAUUUAACAUAUGCUGAACACCUACCAUGUGCAAAGGGUUUAUUAUACAUUUUCUCAUUUAAUCCUCACAUCAAACGUAUGAGGAAUACAUUAUCAUCCCAUUUUAUUGAUAAGGAAAUGGAGGCUCAGUGAUUCUGCUGUAGCCUGUCUACAUAUCCACUGCUCUGGAGACCCAGGUUGAGUGGACUCCUGAGGAAGGGUGGUUCAGGCGGAGAAGGCUGCUUGGAAAGAUGAGGCUUGAGUUGGUGCAUUGCACUUGAUUAGGUGCAGAGAAGCCUCAACAGAUGGAGGAAACACAGAUGGUCUCCCCAUGAUUACAUCACCACCCAGAGAAGGUUGGAAGCAGUUACACGCCCACUGCUUUGCAGUCUCAAAUGUAAACUGCCUAGAAAACUGAGCAUGCUGAUGAGAAGUUUUGUCUUAAACCUGCAGCACCCCUAUUUACAGAUGGUCUAUUCUGAGCAAGGAGCAACACAAUAUAUAGUGGGGAGUUCCUGAGGAUGUAGAGGACCCUGAUGCCCCUUUUGUGAGUUUAUCAUUUCAUGAAGAACUAGAACCGGCAUCAGUGAAGGGCAGAGAGACGGACAGUUGGACGUAGCCAUAUGCAAGUGCUGAGGGAGAGUCAGGGAGAACAGAAUAAUGACAGGUAGCAUGGUGUGGUGUGUGGCGAGUUUAAGAAGGAGGAAUAGCCUGAGCAAUGGUUUGAAGAACUGGCUUGGCAGAGAGCAGGGAGAAGCUCCUGAGGGAAGGUUUUGAGGUGAAGAAGGAAAAUUCCAUGCUUAGCUGGAGGAGAGAACACAAGACAGAGUAUGGCAGCUGGAGAUGAAGCAGUUUGGUAAGGAAUAUAUGUUGGGAAGUUUAGAAACUCAUAGAUUCAACCACAUUACCCUUGAUCACCUGUACACAGAACCUCAAAGACCUCAUCCACUUCAAAUACCUUUGGUUAUUACUUUGGUGUUGUCAUAUCCCCUGUGUACAUGGGGGUCCUGAGUCAGAAAGAGAAACAGAGAAAGGCCUUUCCAGAACUGAGAUUUGUAUUAUCCCCUUUCCCUAACAAAAGUAGAGGCUUAAUGCAAGAGAUCAACUAGAUUCAAGUAAACACUUAAUUUACAUUUUAUAAAGGGGCUUCAGAAUGCACAUAGACCUUCAAUUGAAAUGUGCAGGAAAAUUAAAUCACUAACUAUCAAUGGGCAUGAGUUGCUCUUUGAGGAAUCUCUAUUAUACAUAAGCUUAAGGAGAUGCUCAAAUACACUGGGUGCCCAAUUUUCUGAACUCUUUGUGGCUGUAAAGGUGAAAACUGGAAUUUGUGUUUAGCAAAGCCUCUCAUGCAGUAAGAAAGUAAAAACAUUCUUCUUGAGGAAACACUGGACAAAUGGAAAUACCUAAAGGCGGGGGCUUCAGACUGAGAUGAUAAACAUACUGUUUGACAAUAAAAGACUUGCAAUAAUAGGUCAUUGUGUUUAUUUCUGCAAAAAUAAUAUUCGUUGCCUGAUUUUUUAAACUUCCUCUAAUGGAGAGAGAGACAGAAGACUAGAACGUUGGUCUCUGGGGAGUGACCACGGUUACCAUAAACAGUGGUGCAGGGAGUGCCCUGCAAAAUGUGCCUGCUAAGAGGACAACUGGGGAGAGAAAUACAGUAACCUCCAUUAGAAUAUGAGUUCCAUGUAAGUUGUAGAAGAUCCAGGAGAGGAAGAUUUAGGACUCUGAAGCUGUUGCUGCCUCCCUGAAACAUGGCGUGAACAUUUGUCUUCCAAUCAUCAGAUUUACUGUGAUUGAAAAGUCUGAACACCUUGGAGAAUACCACUUGUGGAGGAGAGAAGCUGGCCCUUUACCUUGGCUAUUAGCACUUAUUCCUAUACCAUCAUCGAGAGAAAGAUAAGUCAGUUACUAAUUCUGUCUACUCCCUUCACCCCCAAUAAUUGACAAGAGAUCUCUUUGGAAACUCAACAUGAUACAGCUAGAUUCAGGUGAAAGACAGAGGUAGGUGUCAACCUUUUUCCUGCAAAUCUAUGCAAAUACUCUAUUGCCCCAUCCCUUCUUUAAAAUGUAACUGGAAGACACAACCAACCAACCAACCAACCAAAAAACAAUACAACACCCUAAGUGCAAAUGGAACAAAGACUCUUGGUGUUAGUUAGAUGAAGGAUUCCAGUGUGAGGGGUUUUCAAGCUUCUUGCUGGACUUCGAGAUCUCCUAGUGCGUAUAAGCACAAACUGGUUUUUGCAGUAACUUAUGGAUCUCAGAAGGCUGUAGAAUUAGCAGGCCUUGCGUGAGAAUGUUGUUCCAUUAUUUACUCACAGUAGUCACAUAGAAGCCCACAGGAGCUGUCAAGGCCAGCAUUAGACUGAGCUUGCAAGCAGAACUGUUCUUUCUUACAUCUUGUUCAGAGGCCCUUUCUAAAGAAAUCAUCACCACAUAUUUAAAAUAUGAUGGGCUUGGUCUGACUUCAUUUUGGGUGGUGCAAAACUUUGUCCAUUUUUUUCCAAUUUGGGAAAAUUAUAGUACUGGCAUUGCAGUUAACCCUGGGAGGCUCGCUCUUUACUCCCCUCCCACAUUUAUAGAUUGUUCCAUUCAUACUUAGUUUCCUCUUCCAAAGAAGCAUGGAUUCAUUGUUCCACCAUUACACUAUUCAGUUUCUGCCAGUUAAGUGGUAACAAUUUUCAACUGUUUCAGUGAUGGCUCUUUUCUUUUUAACUUCUAGAGCCAUAUACCACAAUUCUGAGGUUGGUCAUCAUUGGAUUACAGCUGGGAUUUGUCUGGUCUAGACUUAGGUGUCAAAUACAUGGAGAAAAAAGAGCAGCAACAGCCAAGGGCAUUCAUGACAUCUUUGUACACUUCUAAACCUCAGUAAUUUAGGUUGUAACCCUGUUAGAAAUAAUCUGCAAGUGGUUUUCAGAAAAAUAUUUAUUAAAUUUUAAACAACUACAUUUGUUAAGUUUAAGACAAGCAUACAUGAUGUGCUUUUUUUCCCCAGAAUCUAUGACAAAUAACAAAGGAUGCCAUAGAUGACAAGGUAAACCUCUGUCCUAUCAUUAGCAAGACUGAAGUCCAUAUCAGUUGUGAGAAAAGAAUGUAAUUUGCAUUUAAGUGCCAUUUAUAACUUGUUUCUUUCAUACUUGCAGCCUAAGUUGCAGAACUUUGAAGGUUAAAUGUUUAAAAGCUGCUCAAGUAUUUUAUAACAUCUGAAUUUUAGGAGAGUAUGCACUUUUUUCACAGUUAUGUUUAAGAUAUCACUUUAAAAAAAAAAGGACUUGUAAAAGGAGUUCUUCAUAUACCCCAGGUAAGGUAAAAGUCAUUUAAUGGCUGGGGACACUGAGUCAGAGGUCUCAGUGGACAAUUCUCUCUGCUUUCCUUUGAGACUCUGUUUCUGGCAUUGUCCUGGCCUUCCCAGCAUCUCUACUAUCAAGCCUGGGGACAAGCCCUACAAUUCAGGAAUUAGCUUUUUGGCCAGCAAACACCUAGAUCUAUUCCAUACACCAUCUGGACCUCAGUUGAACAGCAUUUGGGGGGAGCUUUUGAAAAUGGGAAACGAAUGUUGCUUUGUCUGUUCUAAGUCAAAGAACUGAAGAGACCAGGUGCAAUGUCUCAUGCCUGUAACCCCAGCACUUUGGGAGGCCGGGGCGGGGAGAUCACGAGGUCAG
rnacentral:lncRNA from 1 species